CCAUGUAGCCUCGCUGGUCUGGAAACCCCAAAGGAUUGACGGGGCCGGUCAAGAGUGGCGUCAUCCUCGAUUAUUUGAAAGAACGAUUGAAUUUCACUUACGAGAUGGUCAGAGUCACCGAGGACAUAUUAGAGCCGCAGGGAAAGCAACAAGGACUGUUUAGUUAUUUGUUGGAAGAUGUUGAGUGCUGUGGUUGUUAAAUUUUUAAUUGUGUCCAGUAUUAAACUAAUCAAUUCAACGCUUAUGCAGAAAUGCGACUUUUUAAUGGCAGGUGUGGCACCGACAUUCGAGCGAGUGAAACGUGCAGAUUUGACUGCGCCUUGGUUGUUCGAUUGUUACGACCUUCUCUUUGUCGUCCAGGACGACACGGUUAAUAUCAACGCCGUCGUCAAACCUUUCCAAUGGCCGGUCUGGUUGGGAAUGUUGAUUUCCGUGAUUGUCGUAAUCACCAUCUUGAAUGUGUUGCAAUAUCGAUUGCUGCCUAAAAUCGAUUCUGCAAGAAAUCACGACCGUAA